ACUGGGCAUGUUGGCACAUACCUGUGGUUUUAGCUACUUGGGAGGCUGAGGUGAGAUGAUCACUCUAGCCCAUGAGUUUAAGACCAGCCUGGGCAACAAAGUGAGAUCUGGUCUUAA
rnacentral:sRNA from 1 species